GUGCCACCCAGUCUGUGAAGCCCUUUCUAAUUUCCUCUGGGCAGAAUUUUUCUUUAGGCGAUCAUAGCACUUUGUAUUGACCUUUCUUAUGUCAAAAUUUUUGGCUUGUUUUAUAGUUUGGUACAGGUCUGUCUUAAAAGACUAUGACUCCCUUGUAUAGAACAAAUGCUUGAAAAUUUUUAAUAAAGUCAACACAUUGAAGAAAGUGUCAAUAAAAGGCUGUUUUGGUAAAUAUAAACAAGAAGCAAACAGAAAAAUACAAUUUUUGUUGCCUAUACUGCACAAUCUUAAAACAGCUACUGGCACAAUAUCUCUUCUUUCUAUAAAUAGCUGAAUUAUUAUUAAGUAUAAUUAUAAAGCUAAACACUGGGUGCUUAAUACAUACUUCCUGCAAAUCAGUGUGAUGAAAUGGAAAAAGCCUUCACUUGC
rnacentral:lncRNA from 1 species